UGGGGAGAUAGCGGAGCCCUGUCAAAUUUAUUCAUUUCGGCUUUAGUCAGAAAGACGAAUUAACCUUUAUGUCUCGUAUUCUUUCGUUAAUCCGAACUUUUCUUUUGAAAAAUGCUAGAAAAGAGAGCAACCAUAAUAAAUCUUUUAAUGCUGAUGACCCCCCACAGCGGGAAAACUGUUCAAAAGGAGUAAAUUUAAAGAACCUUUCUAGGGUCACUGUACUAGUGGCUGUUAAAAAAGAUAACUGCUUAAGAAAAUUAAUAAAACAUUUCGAAAGGACUGAGCGAAAAAUUUUUGUCAAGGCGAUUCUACUUAAAUUAGAUUUGAACUCUAUAUUUCUGGAUGUUUUUGAUGUUUUGUUUUUGGACAUAAACUGGUUGUUUGCCUUUGACAAGCAGCUGUUAAGGGACUUUGCUAAAACUUUAAAAGGUAUUAAAAGAAGACCAUUUCUUGUCGGCGUGGUUGAAAGCGUGUCUAGCACGACCAAGUCUUUAUGUGAAUACAUUUCAUGCGAUUUUAUUUUAAUAAGACCUAUAACGUAUGAAGACAUUUUUACUAUAUUUUCUAUAAAAACUUUUCGUAAGCAAAUAAAC